CCACCUACGGGUGGCAGCAGUUUCGAAUCAUUCACAAUGGGCGAAAGCCUGAUGGUGCGACGCCGCGUGAGGGAUGAAGGUCUUCGGAUUGUAAACCUCUGUCACUGGGGAAGAAACGCUUUGAGCUAACAGUUCAAAGCCUGACUUAACCCGGAGAGGAAGCAGUGGCUAACUCUGUGCCAGCAGCCGCGGUAAUACAGAGACUGCAAGCGUUAUUCGGAUUCACUGGGCGUAAAGGGUGCGCAGGCGGCCAGGUGUGUGAGGUGUGAAAGCCCGGGGCUUAACCCCGGAAUUGCACCUCAAACUACACGGCUAGAGCAUUGGAGAGGGUAGCAGAAUUCACGGUGUAGCAGGGAAAUGCGUAGAUAUCGUGAGGAAUACCAGAGGCGAAGGCGGCUACCUGGACAAUUGCUGACGCUCAGGCACGAAAGCGUGGGGAGCAAAAGGGAUUAGAUACCCCGGUAGUCUC
rnacentral:rRNA from 1 species